UGCCAAAACCAGCUAGUCACUAAGAGGACCAAGUGUGUCAUAUCCCACAGCAUGUCCCUUAAACCUCCACCCACCAUACUGAGAGUUCUCUCAAAAUACAAGGGAAAUGCUUUUAGGAAUCUGGAGUAACAACUUGAAAAUGUACUCUACUGGCAGUGGUGACUGCAGUCCUGCAGAGACACUUCUGGUGAACUUGCAUUUCUUGGUGACUCUGAUACGCCUCCACUUAGUGAAGUCUUGGGCAGUGUCAUGGGCCUCAGAGAGUCUCAGGAACUUCCCUGGAACUGCCUGGGAGUGUCAAGUUCAGCUUUUGUAUAAACGCUGGCAGGCGCCGGGAGCAGCUGGCUCUGGAGCCCUUUGGAGCACUGCGAUGUGUGGAUGUGAGACACAUGGCAGGGAGGAGACAGCGAUGCCGUGGAGGAGAGCCUCCAUCAGUGAGCCUGUGCUGCUAGUGCUGAGCUUGGCUGAGGUCAGAACACAAUUUUGCCUUAAUUUUCAGGCCCCGAACUGCCCCUGCAGCUGGCUACAUUUUUUUACUUCUAAGGAAUGAAAACCUAACAACAGAAAUCCCUUCUAACAAAGCAAACUGUGCUACACAUGAACUCAAUGUCGCAUCUCAACUCACCUUCAUUGCUUUUCCUACACUUCCAGAGAUGUCUGUGGCUUCUUCCCUCACGAUGGUCAGUGUUAGGAAUGGAGCUCAGUGAUGUUUUUUAACCUGCUCUUUACUAUUCACAGAAAUGUGAAUCCCAAAAUUUGUUACUGCAUGUGAAGUUUCUAAUAAAUAAGAGAUUUUGUUUUAUUAUUGAAA